rnacentral:rRNA from 1 species
UACCUGCAGCUCGAGUGGUAACCGCUAUUAUUGGGCCUAAAGCGUCCGUAGCCGGUUUGGUAAAUAUCUGGGUAAAUCGUGAGGCUUAACUUCACGAAUUUCGGAUAGACUGCCAGACUUGGGAUCGGGGGAGGUCAGAGGUACUCCAGGGGUAGCGGUGAAAUGUUGUAAUCCUUGGAGGACCACCGGUAGCGAAGGCGUCUGACUAGAACGAGUCCGACGGUGAGGGACGAAGCCCUGGGGCGCAAACCGGAUUAGAUACCCGGGAAGUCCAGGGUGUAAACGAUGUGGGCUUUGUAUUGGAGGUCCCACGUGGGCGUCCAGUGCAGAAGAGAAGUUGUUAAGCCCACCGCCUGGGAAGUACGGUCGCAAGGCUGAAACUUAAAGGAAUUGGCGGGGGAGCACAGCAACGGGAGGAGCGUGCGGUUU